UACGUAGGGGACAAGCGUUGUCCGGAUUCAUUGGGCGUAAAGAGCUCGUAGGCGGUCUAGUAAGUUGGGUGUGAAAGCUCCGGGCUCAACCCGGAGAGGUCACCCAAAACUGCUAUGACUAGAGUCCAGUAGAGGAGCGUGGAAUUCCUGGUGUAGCGGUGAAAUGCGCAGAUAUCAGGAGGAACACCAGCAGCGAAGGC
rnacentral:rRNA from 1 species